GUGGGGAAUAUUGGACAAUGGGCGAAAGCCUGAUCCAGCCAUGCCGCGUGUGUGAAGAAGGUCUUCGGAUUGUAAAGCACUUUAAGUUGGGAGGAAGGGCAGUAAGUUAAUACCUUGCUGUUUUGACGUUACCGACAGAAUAAGCACCGGCUAACUUCGUGCCAGCAGCCGCGGUAAUACGAAGGGUGCAAGCGUUAAUCGGAAUUACUGGGCGUAAUGCGCGCGUAGGUGGUUUUGUAAGUUGGAGGUGAAAUCCCCGGGCUCAACCUGGGAACUGACUCCAAAACUGCAUGACUAGAAUACGGUAGAGGGUAGUGGAAUUUCCUGUGUAGCGGUGAAAUGCGUAGAUAUAGGAAGGAACACCAGUAGCGAAGGCGACUACCUGGACUGAUACUGACACUGAGGUGCGAAAGCGUGGGGAGCAAACCGGAUUAGAUACCCUUGUAGUCC
rnacentral:rRNA from 1 species